UUGGUUUGGAACCAAAAACUUGGAAAUAGAAUCAUUGUCGUUCAAAACUCUUAGCUAACAAUUCUGUUCUGGUUUUGAAACCAAGAACAUUGAAGCAGAAUAUUUUCGUCCAAACAAAUUCAACUACUUAGCCAAAUUUGUUUUCCAAUUUCGUUCCUCAAGUUCAAAAGCGCAGAUGCUUAAAUUCGAUUUUUGGGUUCUAAAUUCAAUCCAUGGAGGUUUUCAAUGGGAUAAUUAUACGGAGUUGUUCCUACUCCAGGUAUGUUAAGGCCCUCCCUUCUUUCUUUUGGCAUAGUCCAACUUAUACUGAAGAAACGACCAAAUACACAGUUUCGAUAAAUUACUCUAUUCAUAAAANNNNNNNNNNNNNNNNNNNNNNNNNAAUUGGAAAAGUUUAUCCGGAAGGAAUAUCGAGAUUAUUAUAUAUUUUUCAUGCAUUUCACUCAUUUAUACAUGUGCAUUGACCAUGACCAUAUGGUGUUAUACACGUGUAUCUAUGUAAAUAUAUGUAUAUGAGAUAUGGGAAAAGGUUACGGCGUUAUAUAUCCACCACCACCUGAUCAGCUGAUAUAUGAUGAUGAUGUUGCCCAUAGUGGCUGAAAUAUGAUUCAAACGGCGUUAUAUACGCGUAUAUAUGUAUGCAUAUGUAUAUGGGACAUGAGAAGAGGUUAUGGCAUUAUAUACACACCACCACCUGAUCAGUUGGUAUAUCUUGAUGAUGUUGCCCACGGUGGCCGAGACGAUAUGAUGGGAUGAACUCAGUAGCUUGAUGAUAUUAUGUACACCCAAACCUAUGCAUGGCACGACAUUUAUACGCAUGUGCAUGAUAUUAUAAACGUUUCAAAAUUUACAGAGUUAUUUAGAUUUUAAGGUAUUUCUGUAUUCCAUGUUUCAUCUAUGUCUUUUACGUACUUAUUUACAUGCCUUACAUACUUAGUACAUUUUUCGUACUGAUGCCCUAUUUCACGGGGCCUGCGUUCCAUACCUGCAGGUGCAGGUAGGCAAACUGACGGUCCCCCUUCUUAGGAUCCCUGAUGAGCGAGAGUUGGCGUGCUCCACUUGAUCCGAAGCUGCUUUGAUUUUGG
rnacentral:lncRNA from 1 species